CACUGUGCCGUAAUGCUACGUGAUAACGUUUUAUACGCCCAUUGGCUGCGCGCAGUUUAAAGUGAAACCAGCGCGAGAAACCGUGGAAACGAACGGAGCGUCCACCAGAAAACACAAGGAAGAAGUAAAACGAAGCAUAGAGGAUCAUAGGAGAACCCUGGCUGGAUCACUCUCGACACCCACAGGAGGGUCUGAGGAGGGAGGCUGAUUCUACAAGAUAAUUAGUCUGCUCUGUUAUCAGCCCCCAACAGCGGAAUAACGGUUGUGUAAAGCUAUUGGGUGUCCACCGUGUUGUAUCGCCAUCGUUGUACAACCAGAUCAGGUCCACAAUUUAUGCAUGGCCAAUGAGUUGGAUUGAGAAUGUUCACUUCACUGUUCUUGAAAUGGAAACUGAAAUAAAAUGGCACAAACAUUUUUUUGUUCUUGUUCCUCUUUUUUUGCUAACCAAUGGAAAGAGUGAUGCCAUACACAAACUGCUUACUAUAGGGAAUAUUCACCAAAGUUGAGCAAUAGUUUUUGGUGUGAAAUGCUGGCAACAUA